rnacentral:lncRNA from 10 species
UGACAUUCCUAGAGUGGGAGUGCUCUCCUACCCUUCUUGUGUGUGACUAGCUACCUACUGUAACAACUUCCCUUUCAAGAGUCCAAGACCUCAAUUCUUUGGAGAAAAAUGGAUGAAGUGGCCUGGCUUCCAGCACCAAUGGCAAUUACCUGGAGGAAUGUCCUUAGGACAACCUGGAGGGAGAUUGAGAGCUUGUAAGUUCCAGGGAUGGAAUCCGAGUGAUCGCUAAGGCAAUUCAUAUAUUUUACCCACCUUAGGAUAACUGGUUUAGGAUUGGACAAACAAUCUCAGCUGCUUCAAUCAGACUCACUUCCUUUCAUUCAGAUGGAAGAUGGGAAAACACAAUGCUAUAGACUUUGGAAUAUUGUAUGGGCUCGUAAUCAGCGUACUGAAUUUCAAGCCAUUCCUUGGCCACUCAAUGGCCACUACUAAAUCACACAACCCACCCAACUGGAGAAUUAAAUCAAAUAUCUGGAGCAAUUUAAUGUGCAUGCAUUCGUGGCCACAAAAAUGAAGAUACAAAUAAGUGCUGGAUAUUAGACCUUCGUCAGACACAUAGACCAGUGGAACAGAAUAGAGAACCCAGAAAUUAGAUCACUCAUCUUCAACCAUCCAAUCUUCGACAAACCUGACAAAAAGCAAUGGGGAAAGGACUCCCUGUUCAAUAAAUGGUGCUGGGAGAAAUGGCUGGCCAUAUUGUGUCUAGAAUUUAUUCCUUCCAGUGGGUUCUUGGUCUCGCUGGCUUCAAGAAUGGAGCCGCAGACCUUUGCAGUGAGUGUUACAGCUCAUAAAGGUGUUGCAGACCCAAAGAGUGAGCAGCAGCAAGAUUUACUGUGAAGAGCGAAAGAACAAAGCUUCCACAGCAUGGAAGGGCACUUUCCGCUGCUGGCUCAGGUGGCCAGCUUUUAUUCCCUUAUUUGGCCCCACCCACAUCCUGCUGACUGGUCCAUUUUACAGAGCCCUGAUUGGUCCAUUUUACAGAGUGCUGAUUGGUGUGUUUACAAUCCUUUAUCUAGACACUGAGCACUGAUUGGUGCGUUUUUACAGAGGGCUGAUCAGUGCGUUUAUUUUCCUUUAGCUAGACACAGAGCGCUGAUUGGUGCGUUUUUACAGAGUGCUGAUUGGUGCAUUGACAAUCCUUUAGCUAGACACAGAGUGCUGAUUGGUGCAUUUUUACAGAGUGCUGAUUGGUGCAUUUACAAUCCUUGAGCUAGACACAGAGCGCUGAUUGCGUUUACAAUCCUCUAGCUAGAUAGAAAAGUUCUCCAAGUCCCCACUUGACCCAGGAAGUCCAGCUGGCUUCACUUCUCAAUAUGUAGAAAAUUGAAACUGGACCCCUUCCUUACACCACAUACAAAUAUUAAAUCAAAAGAGAUUAAAAACCUAAAUGUAAAACUCAAAACUAAGAAAACCUUGAAAGACAGCUGAGGCAAUACCAUUCGGGACAUAGGCCAUGAGCAAAGAUUUCAUGAGAAAAAUGCCAAAGGCAACUGCAAGAAAACAAAAAAUUGACAAAUGGGACCUAACUAAACUGAAGAACUCUGCACAGCAAAAGAAACUGUCUGCAGAGUAAACAGACCACCUACAGAAUGGGAGAAAAUGUUUGCACUGAUUUACUUUCACAAAGUCAGUUUGUGAAAGAAAAAGAGAACAAGUGGAAUUUGAAAGGCAAUGGCUAAUUUCUUAUGCAUCAGUGAAGACAUUGGAAUCCAAUAGAGUUGAGUGCAAAGCCCACCCUGCCCCAAUUCUGUGCCUAUAAAGACCUCAGGCUCAGCCAGCAGAGAGGAAAAGUGGCUGGAUGUUGAGAGAGGCAGUUUGACUCCAGAGAUGGCAGCUGGAUGUCGGAAAGCAGCAACUUGACUUCACAAGAGAGAGGCAGAGGUGACUUAAUAUCAGAGGAGAGCAACCUGCCCUUCCCAUCCCCUUUCCAUCUCCCCUCUUGCUGAGAGCCGCUCUCGUCACGCAAUAAAAUUCACCACAUUCACCAUCCUUCAAUUUAUAUUUGCGACCUCAUUCCUCUUGGGCACCGGACAAGAAUUUGGGAUGCACCAAGUGUGGACACCCACAAAGGCUGUCACAGUGGCCCUUUGCCAUUGCCAGCAGAGGGCAGCUGCCCCAUGCAAUAAGCCAAAGGGCUGGCUGAGCUGAUAACACACUGCUUUCUGUGGACGGCGGCGGAGCUAAAAGAGUAUUGUAACAUGCCCUCUGGGGCCUUGGGGAACCCCACCUGGAUCCUGCCAAGAGGCCUGCAUGAAGUUUGCUCCUGCCAGCACUAAAGCAGCCAGUUUUUUCCUGCACUCACUCACCUGCACACUUCCUCCUGCGAUGGGUGGGACACAGUCAACCUGAGUGAGCAGAGUUUGCUCAUGCAGGCACCUAAAUUGCUGGCAAGUUCCUGAGCUCAUUCGCUUCAAUUCCCGUACUCAUUUGCAUGGGUGCUCCCUCCCACAAGGGGUUGAACAGGACAGGUUGAGUAAAUGGUGCACCCCUCUUUUGAGUCCCACCAAGGGUCAAGAAAAUAUCCUGCAUCACUUUGUCAACUUAUGCCACUUAAAGGACAUGCUGCCUACUUUAGACUUAUUUACAAGUUUGCAUAAUUUUUAGACAUAGACAACGCCGUUUAUCUCUGCAAUUACUAUCAAUUCUAACCUAGGAAGCACCAAGUUAAUGGCAAUAAAAAAAAAAAGAAUAAACAACUGUUUCCAGCAACAAGGUGACUGUACCAGUAAUUAAUUUAUUGCCUUCCAGAGGCAAAUUCACUAUUGCCUGUUCUGAGAAAAAGAAUCUGGGCCCUUCAAAUAGCUGCCAGAAUGUAAAAACUUGCCAGCAGAUGGUGGUGGAGAGAUGCUGGAGGUGGAAGGGAUUUCAUCCCAGGUCUGGUAUGCUCCCUCAUCAGGCUCUCACAGUGGAACACACCUUCUCCAACACCUGGCUCCUGUUCAGCAGCACCCAGAGACCAUCAGCUUCCUUUUGCACUCCUUUCAGAUAAUUUAGCAGUUGAGUCUCUCUGGAAAAAUCAAUAGCUUUCCAUGACACCCCAGAGGAUGAAUCUCCUGCCUGCCCAAAAGGCAUAUUUUCAGCAAUUUCUUCCAGUACAGCCCCACUGCAACUACUCUGCCACCCAGUGAGAGCCACAUUCUCUUUUCUUUUUUUUCUUUUUUUUAAUUUUUGAUUUCCAACUUUUAAGCUCAAGGGAACAUGUUCAGGAUAUAGAGUGUGCAGUUUGGUACAUAGGUAAACAUGUGCCUUGUGGUUUGCUGCACAGAUCAUCCCAUCACCUAGGUAUUAAGCCCAGCAUCCAUUAGCUGUUCUUCCUGAUGCUCUCCCUCCUCCCAUGCCCCACCCUCCAACAGGCCCUAGUCUGUGUUGUUCUCUCCCCGGCAAUUCCUCAAAGACUUAGAGGCAGAAAUACCAUUUGACCCAGCAAUCCCAUUAUUGGGUAUAUACCCAAAGGAAUAUAAAUCAUUCAAUCAGGAACAUAUACGCAUGUGUACGUUCACUGCAGCACUAUUCACAAUAGCAAAGACAUGGAAUCAACCUAAAUGUCCAUCAAUGAUAGACUGGAUAAAGAAAAUAUGGUACAUACACACCAUGGAAUACUAUGCAGUCACAAAAAGGAAUGAGAUCAUGUCUUUUGUAGGGACAUGGAUGGGGCUGGAAGUCAUUAUCCUCAGAAAACUAAUGCAGGAACAGAAAAACCAAACAGUGCAUGUUCUCACUUAUAUGUGGGAGCUGAGUGUUGAGAACACAUGGACACAUGGUAGUGAGCCACAUUCUUACCCUUUCCAAUAAGGCUUGAAUCUCAUCUUGGUAGGGAGGGAGCAGUCUUACUGGAUGCUGUAUUUCAGCACCAGGGAUUGGAGAACACUCCCUCACUUUUGCAUCAGCUAAUCCUGUACUCUAUAAAAUUCUUUUCAUUUAUUACAAUCCUAUUCCUCCAUACACAAAUCUCCUGUUAAAAUUAAUAACUUUUAUAUCAAACUUCCUCUGUUCACAUUACUGUGUUGGUUUCUCCCUCCUGAUUGGAUCACAACUGAUACAAUUGGGUUAAAUACUUUUUCAUAAAAUAAAUUAUUAAAUCCAUUCCUUUAGUGUGUAAGUAUUUAGAGUUUACAAAUUACUGAGAUUUAAUUCUACAAAUUAUACAUAUUUACAAUCUAGGUGAAGGCACUCAAGAGAUAUUUAAACAUUUCCCCUCUAAGACAUCAGUUUAAAGAAAGACAGAAAGAAAGAAAGAAAGAAAGAAAGAAAGAAAGAAAGAAAGAAAGAAAGAAAGAAAGAAAGAAAACCCUUUGCUAGCACAAAACAGUCCCCAAAACCUUACUGUUGGGGUUGAGAAACUGAUACCUCCUAUGGCACUUUGGAAUGCUGAGUACUUUGAAUCAAAGGAGUUGAAAGACCAUAGAAGCAACUUCAGAACCAAUGUCACUCUGACCUCCUGCUCUUCUGUCUCUUACCCUCUUUCUCCUGCAAUAGUGCAAGGAGGGGCUCUCCCUGAACUUUCCUUAUCUGUCUAAAGAUUGGCCCUCUAGAAAGAAUACACUUGUCAUGAGUGUUUUUCCUGGGAAUCUCAUCAGCCAGGGAAAAGUAAAAGUAUCACAGGGGAGGAAACUGAAAGUUGACAACAUGCCCAGGCAGAUUUUAUCACAGACUAUCGCCUCUUUUUCUGAGACUGUUUAUUACCUGAAAGACCUUUUGUUUGCAUAACAAGACAACCUUUGUUCACCCUGCAUUUUCUCCCCUCACUCUCCCAUAACUUGUGUCACCACCAACCCUAGAAUCCCCAGGCCUGUAUUCCUUUCUUCAGCUCAAGAUGUUAUAUAUGUUUCAAUCAUCUGCCCCCUUUUCAAGUCUCAUAUUUUGUGGGACUCCUAUGUGUAUGCAAAUAAUUAAAAUGUUUUUUUCUCCUGUUAGUAAUUAUCAAACCUUCAGAGGAUAAAGAAAGUUUCCUUUCUCUAUAUUAAUAAUCUCUAGUCCCAACAUUCCAUUCCUCAUUCCCCAGCAUUCACACACACAUUUCCAUGCUGCUUUUCAACAAAAAGUUUUAUUUCCUGCAGUGUAGCAAAAUAACAUGAUUCUAAGUUCUCUUUUAUAAAAUCUGUUAGCUAUUAUAAUUCCUUCACUCACUUUCCCCUUUGUAAUAAAUUUUUCCCCAUCCAUUAAAAUAAUAUGGGCUUAGUAGAAUGCUUAAAAAAUAAAGAUCCACAUGAAAAAUUUAAAGUCAUGUAUAAACAUAUAAUUUAGUGAUAAUUAGUGUUAACAUUUUGGCUCAUUUUCUCUUUGCCUUUGUAAAAUUACAUUAGUCUUGGAUUUGUUUCUUUUCCUACCCCUAUCACAAAAGAUGCUCCUCUUCAUCCAUGGUUACUAUUUUAGUGUGCCCUAAAGGAUAUCACAGCUGAUAUGUCAGGCUACAGUUGUAACUUCCCUAAAAUUAUGACCUUCUUCUAUCGUUGAUGUUGUCACCACGUGGUAAUGAAAUCUUAGGAUAUUAUAAAUAGUUUGGUAUUUGAUUCUCAUAUUUAAUAAUGAAUCUAGAGAUUUCAGGGAAGAAAUAAAGUUGAUAUUGUUUGGAUAUUUGUUCCCUUUAAAUGUCAUCUUGAAAUUUGAUCCUCAGUGUUGGAGGUGGAGCUUAGUGAAAGGCAUCUAGGUCAUGCAGCACUCCUAGCACCUCCAAGGUCUGCUUUUUCAAAAGAGUCUGGAGCCUCCCUUUAUUCACUUUUUCCUUCUCUCUCACCGUGUGUUGGUUUCUCUCCUUUCCCUUCUGCCAUGAGUGAAAACUUUCUGAAGCCCUCAUCAGAAGCAGAUGCUGGUACCAUGCUUGCACAGCCUGCACGAGUGUAAGCCAAAUAAACCUCUUUUCUUUAUAAAUUCCUCAGCCUCAUAGUAUUCCUUUACAGCUAUGCAAAUGGACUAAGACAAGAGUUGAUCCCCUUCAACCACACAGAAAAAGACUUCCACUUUGUUGAAUUUGCUUCAUUUACAAACAAAACUCUAAUAAUAAUAGUAUACAGAGAAUUAAAGAAUACAAUUGAUCAUAUGCACUGACUUAGAAAAGGAAUGCACAUGGGAUGGCAAAAUAGAGAAGGCUUCUUGUGAGUGUGUGGGGGAGGCAGGAUAGGGUUAUCUGGGUCUUUAAAAAAACACUUGACUUAAGCAGAGAGGGCUAUGAGAGGGCUUAAUAAAAGUACAGAGGUAGAAAUACAGAAGAGGUAUAAAAAUAACAAAUAGUCUUAUGUGAUUACAACUUGACAUAUGUAAUUUAGCGGAAGCAUUUUCUACUUCUGAAACAAAUUAUGAUUAACACUUCCUGUAAUAGGUUUAUAAUUAUGUAAACCUAUUUAAAUCAAUCAUUUGCACAACAAAAUGAAUGAAUUAAUUUGUUGCAGCUGUGUUUACUGAGGCACACAUGUAAAGCAAUUUUAAAUGCUGUCAAGUAACAAUGAUUUCGUUUCAUGACUCACACUAAGUGAGAAAUUCUGAUUUUUUUAAGACAAAGUUUAAAAAAUCAAAAACUUAAAACUCCUGGAACUAAAAGCAUAGAAGAAAAGCUUCAUGACAUAGGACAUGACAAUGUGUUCUCACAUAUGACACCAAAGCACAGGGAAAGAAAGCAAAAGUAGAAAAGGGACUAUAUCAAACUCAAAAACUUUUGUGCAUUGAAGGACACACCUAACAGCCUGAAAAGGCAACCUAUGGAGUAGGAGAAAAUAUUUGCAAAUCAUAUAUAUCUAUACAUAUAUAUGGAUAUGAUAGUAAAUUGUUAUACAGAAAAUAUAAAAAGAACUUCUAUAACUCAAUAACAAAAAUCAAAUAACUUAUUUUUUUAAAUGGGCUAAGGACUUGAAUAGAUAUUUCUCCAAAAGUAAUACGCAAAUGGACCACAGUCAUAUAAAACAAAUAUUUGACAUCAUAAAUAAUUAGGGAAAUGCAAGUUAAAAUCACAAGAUAUCAUCUUACAUUCACUAGUAUGACUGCUAUCAAAAAAAUGAAACAAAACAGAAAAUAACAAAUGUUAGUGAGAAUGUGGAGAAAUUGGAACCCUAGUACACUGUUGGCGGGAUUGUGCAACCACUAUGCAAAAAUUAUAAAAAAUUAAAAAUAGAACUACCAUAUUACCCAACAAUUCCACAUCUGGGAUUUUAACCAAUACUUUUAACCAAAAGUAUUGAAAGAAGAGUCUCAAAGAGAUAUUUGAACACUCAUGUUUAUAGAAGCACUAUUUAAAACACCAACAAGUAGAAGCAGCCCAAAUAUCCAUUGACAAGUGAAUGGAUGAAGGAAAUGUAGUAUAUACACAUACAAUGGAAUAUUAUUCACCCCUAAAAAGGAAAUCUUGUCACAUACUACAGCAGGGAUAAGCCUGAAUGAUAUGCUAAAUAAAUAAGCCAGUCACAAUAAGACAAAUACUGUAUGAUUCAACUUCUAUAAAAUGGUGAUUACUAGGGACUGAGGUGAAAAAGUUCUAGAUAUAUGUAUUACAACAAGUUGAAUAUACUUAAAACUACUGAAUUGCACUCUUAAAAUGAUUAAAAUGAAGAAAAUACAUGUUUUUAACUACAAUUUAAUUUUUUUUAAAUCACAAAUUUAGUGAUAGGUAUGUGGCUUUAUAGAUGUUUUAAUCCAAACUUCACAUUUUAACAAUAAAAGUACUAGGACCUUAGAAGAUGGGUGACUGGUUUCAGAUUAUCCAGUCAAGAUGAAAAUUUAUGCCUUCCAAAUUACCACAUCUUAGGUGUCUUCAUCUGCUAGCUUAAUCCCAGGUUGUUCCUGGACUAUCUCUACAUCAAGCAGUGAAAGCUUAACUCCCUUCAUGUUUUACGAUGGAUAAAUAUGUGAGGUGAAAAUCAAGAGGCUAGCAUUGACCCAAUGUACAUCAUCUAUCAAGGAGACAAUGUUCGUUUGUUCUUUGAUGAAUCUCUAAGACAACAUUGUCAUGAUUUUGUUUUCAUCACACAUUUGCAUUAGGU